CAAAAAAGCCAUAAAAAUUAAUAAAUCAAUUUACCUCGUUAUACCAUUCUUCCUAAUACAAGAACGACAUAAUCUUAUGAUAAAAAAAAGAAAAAGAAAAAAGAGAAAGCAAAAAAAAGAAAAAAAAAAAAAGAAAAGAAAAAUUAAUCAUCACCAAACUUUACACAAUUAAAACCCAUGUCAUAAAGACGCAGGAAACCCGUCGUUAAAUACACAGAGGAGAGAUAGCGGCCUUAGCGGCAGUUCCGGGGUCGCGAAACGGGGAAAGUGAAGAUCCACGUGGACAUGACGGAAGCAGAGGGAAAAAAAGGCGGCGCGGGAUUAUCGCGUGGAAACGCGGAUUCCGUCGACUCGCUACCGAGACAAGGUAUCGAGUGGCGGCCUAUUUGAUCGAGGAGGUGGGAAAUGGGCGCCGCGCAGUGGGGGCAGCGAUAGGUGGAGGGGAUAACGGUAAGGAGAAGUGGGGGGAAAAAGGUAAGAGAGGGCAGGUAGGCGCGUGCCACUUAGCCCACCAAGAAACGCGGUCAUAGCCUCGGCACGUCUGACUCGUCAGCUUGAUCGGGCCCGCUCAGAACCGAGCACAUCGUUCCAUGUCGAACCUUUCGGUGCUCGGAAAGUUCUCGUGAAUUCUUUUUUUUCUUUCUCGCCCACGCAACGCAUGAUUGGAAAAUGGUUGGAAUGGCUUCUCUGUGAGCUUUGUUUGGAUCGUGCAUCUCGCGGAAUGGUUGAACAAGUUCAAAAAUUUCCACUUAUUCCAAAAGAUUGAUGCAAAAAUAGCCGAGAUUUUGUUGGAAGAUGAAGGCAACUCGAAAGAAA